UAUAGCAAUCGGACACUUAAGAUUUAUUUUAGUUGUAGUUCUCUUCUUUUAAUUUCAGUCUUUUGAUAUUUUGGAAGUUAUACUUUGUCUUAUUUUCCACUGGUGAAUUGAAUAGAAUUUUCUAGAAUAAAAUUAAAACAAAAGAAAAGCAACUAUUAAAUUAAGUUCUUUUUUUUCACCAGGAUCGACGCUGAUUGUUUCUUGUGGUUAUUGCCUGUAACUAAUGAUGGGACGCGUAGUUGGAGUGCUUAUUCUGUCACUGGCCAUUCUUCAAGCUGUUUCGGCGGUACAUCCAAGUUGCAGAGGAAAAAAUUUUUAUGAUGAAUGUGGUGAGAACAAGUGGUGUCUUUGACCUAGCUAUUUCGCAGCCACAGUGUUAAAUGGCAACCCACUGAAAGCAUGUGACAAAGGUCAGAUGGUUUGCAGAUUCUGGCCAUGCUGGUACAAUUUUGAGUUCGCCGUCCCUCAGCAAGCAAGGAAGGGAAAAGGAGGAGAAUUCAUUAGAUGCCAUUCUGACACCGACUGCGAGAAAGGGAGUGACCGUUGUACAUCUGACGGAUAUUGCUGCACCGACACACCAAUAUGGUCGGUCACUUGAAUAAUGUUAUUUUGUCAAAGAUUUCAACCUAGACGACCGGAAUUACAAACUUCUUGCUAUGACUGUCUAAAAAAUAUUUCAACUAUACUCUAUAAGACUUCAAUAAACAAUCUCUUCGAUAUAAGAUAUUAACUUUAAUAAAAUUACCUUGCAUCUUA
rnacentral:lncRNA from 1 species